AUGGCUCCCCACCCAGGAGCUACAGCUGGAGAGAUGGACCCAAAGACGCAGCGCACCCAAAGACGCAGGGCGGAGGCAAGGAAGUCGCUGAAGCAUCCUCAGGUGCCUGGCAGCGCAGAGCAGGAGACAGGGGCAGCUAGGAGCUCUUGGCUCAGCACUUUCCGUGAUAAGAAGGCACUCUCAGGAAUCUCCUUUGUCAGCGCUGCUCCAGGACUCAGAAGAAAUGACGGUGGCCAGGUGCAAUUUCUGCAGCCCCAGGGAAGCUGGCCCGGAGGACCAAACCCAGUGGCACCGAGGGGUGGGCCCAGCGCCCUAAUGGAACAUAAAGGAAAGGAACGCGGCGGGGACGAAGGAAGGGGAGACCGAGAGAGAGCAGCUGGGACCCGCCUCUCCCAAAGGGCGCUCCCAACCCUAGGAUCUACAGGAGAACCUCGCAGAGUGUGGAACCUAGGAGGUAUCAGCGUUCCUGAUACACAGCACCCCAUCUUCUUCCUGCCUGAGGAACCAGCCCACAGUCUGGGGGCUUGGCUGCUGCUUCAAGCUCAAGUGAGAAGACACUUUCUACCCCAGACACCCGGUGUCCUGCCUUCCUAACUCCAACUGGUCUGUGCUGCUUCCCCUAACAGCAUGAACAGAAAACACGUACAGUGUGCCGCAGCUGGAUGCCCCCAUCACCCCAAGCUGGAAGCUCAGCUCCUCCCUCCCCAGCUCUCCAUUUGUUUUUCUAUAUUCCACUGUGGCUAGAUAGUCCCUUUAAAUUAAAAAAAAAAAAAAAAAAAAAAAGUGAAACAAGAAAUUGUUUACUCCUGUGGCCAGGGCUCCCAUCAGCAUAGGGCUGAAGUCUUUGGGCAGAGGGCUCUGCCCCGGGAGGGCCGCGCCAGGACCCGGAGACAACAGGCUCUUGGGUGUCCAGCCCGCCACUUUUCAGGACGCUCAACUCCAUCCUCCUGCACUUCCCCUCUCGCCCUCACUCCCGCCUCUCCCACCUCUUACCUGUCCCGUGACCUUUGGGCAGGUGCGAGGAGGAGGGGCUACGCUGGGGGGGCGGGGGAGGGGAAGGUGCUAGGAAGGGAAGCCGCCUAAGGCUCCGGCUGCAGCAGCUGCCGACUGCGAGGAGCAGAAAAGGCAGAGGGUGACGGGGACCGAAAUGGAAAACAGGAAAACACAUGUGUGACUCUGGCCGGCAGCGGGGAGGGGCCAGGGGAUGGGCUGGAGCCUGGACUGCCUGGUCAGACCCAGAGGACCUCGUCGCCUGCCCGCCUCUAGGAACCUACUCUACUCAAGUCUCAGCUCCUCCGGUUGCCCACCUCAGCCCUGAUCUUCCUUGUUGCCCUGCGUCCCAGCGGUCCCAGUGACUGACGGUGCCCUCCUGUCGCCCUUUACCAUUUGCCUGUUCCCCUCAUCCCAUCUACCCAUCUCCCACUCCCAUACUAUCCUUCGUCCUGCAGAGGGUAUAGGAUUCAUCGUUUGGGCCCAGGAUUCAGGAUUCAGCCCCCGUGUCAGGCAACACAUACUGAGGAAGACCCCUUGUAGUGAUACAGCCAGAUGCCCCACGCCCAGCUCGGGUCCCCACUCGAUUCAGGCGAUGCAUGUGCAGCCAGGUAAGAGCCAGCUCUGGCACCCUGGGCAAGCUAACCAGCUGGCACCCCUUCAAACCAGGAUCUUUUAAGUAUCUGUUGGAUGUCGACUGAGCAGAGGUGGAGGAACACAGAUUUUCUCAGAAUCAAAACUAUCAGCCUCAUUGUUUCUAUUUGAAAUUAGAGCUUAUUCCAAGAAUUCCUUACGUGCGACUUUCCGAAGUAGUUUCUUGGUGGCCAUAUGAAACCACUGCAACUGCAGACAAUAGCAUCAGUCUCUCUUGGGGAAUGGCACUUCACAGUGCAUGGGGCUUUUUCAGAAUUCCAGCUGUGAUUUCUGCCUACAUACAGCUGGACUACCAGCUGGCCAGUCUCAGGGCUACCCCCUGCAACUUAUACCUGUACCUGCGUGUUGCAAGAUUAUUCUAGAGACUGACAGUCCGGGUAAGCAGUCGUCAAGGAUUCCGUCUGUGGAUGGAGCCAACUUACAGUUCACCAAAACACAUGGACAGAAAUUGGAGUUCGUUGGCACCAAAUGUCUGGAUUACUCCAAGCAGAACAGUGCCAUUCUACACCUGGGCCACUGCCCAGCUGGCCUGCCCCUUAACUCCACUCUGGAGUCAGGCCCAAGGGGUAAAUGAGGGAAGUCCUAGAAGACAGCCCUAAAGCCACCCCCCUUGGCACUGGCCCCUGCACUGUCACUCCACUGAAGCCACCCUGGCCUCCUUGCCGUUACCACACAACAGAUAUGCCCCCUCUCAGAGCUUUCGCAAUUGCUGUGGCCUCUGCCUGCAACAUUCUUCCCAGUGACAUUGUUCAUUUUCUACUCACUACAUUCAGGUCUAUGUUUAGACAUCACACUACCAGAGGUCUUCCCUAAGGAGUCUCUGAAGGAGCGACUUCUUCCCUCUUCAUCCAUUCACCAUGCUGGACUUUUCUUCCAGGGCACCACCGCCCAGAGUUCAUUUGCAUGUUUGCUGUCACCUCCCUCACUAGAAUGCAAGCAACACCAGAGCGGCUCACCAUUCACCCUGUGGCCCCAGGGCAGAGCACAUGUAGACAGUCAGAAAUAAUGGCUGGAAGAACAAAUGCAUGAAUAAACAAUGCUGUUCCUCCUACACUGAUUGCCCAGAGGCAGGGACUCUGGGAAUGUCCUUGAACUUGCCCUUCUGGCCCACCUAUCCUGUGGCUCUUGGGCUCCUAAACUAAGCAAGGAUUUGGAAGUAUGUAUUCUUUUUUGACAGUAAUGGGUUAAAGGGAGAGGGAGGGCAUAAUUUUCAGUUGGACUGGGAGGCCUAUAAAGGUUUGAAAUGAACAUUUCGUUUCAUUAAUGGGAAAACAAAACCCCCCUCAUCUCACACGCUUUCCUGGCCCCUGCUGUCCCACAUCCAGGCUCAGGUGACCGGUGUGGGUGCGGCGAGAGCAAGGUGCGUCGGCCCCUGGGCGAGGCAGAGGGGAGGCGAGGGCUCAGGUUCACGGGUCUGCAGGCGAGGUCAAGAGUGGAGCCGCAGAGCCUCAAGCGUGACCUCUUCUUCCCGGACGCCCUCCCGCAGUUCCCCCGUCGCAGUGACCCUGGGCCCACAGUCCUCCGCCCCGCCCAGCGGCUGCCUGACCUCACCUUUGCCCCUUUCUCUCACACUCCCCUCCUCCACGCCCCGCCUCGGCCCCGCUGGCGCCGGGUCCUUUUUUUUUUUUUUUUUAAGAUUUUAUUUAUUUAUUCAUGAGACCCGCAGAGAGAGGCAGAGACAUAGGCGGGGGGGGGGGGGGGGGGGGGGGAUGAAGCAGGGAGCCCCAUGCGGGACUCGAUCUCGGCACCCCGGGAUCACGCCCUGAGCGGAAGGCAGACGCUCAACCGCGGAGCCGCCCGGGCGUCCCACGCCGGGUCUCUACUACCUCUUUCCCUGGACUCCCGGCUGUUCCGGGUCUGCAGCCGGGACCUCGCCUUCCCAAACCCCAACCCAGCCACCGGCCGCCUUCUAUGCCUCUUAGAGCUCAGUCAGGAGCUGUUCCCACGUCCAGGUUCGGCUACGGAGGCCAACCCGGGGUGGGCCUUGAGGGACCAGGAGCCCAGCCCGCCUGGCGUCCCUUCCCUCCUUCCACCUAGCGCAGAGGCGCCCGCCCCUCCCCGGGCUCCGGGAAGCCCUGGGGCCGGAGGGUGGGCUGGGUGUAGGCGAAGGGCGCCUGGGUCCUAGAACGGAGGGGCCCGCGACCCGCUCCCCGGCCUCUCCUCACUGAGGCACAGCGGCGCUGCCCCUGGGCCAGGGAAGGGAGCGCGGACACCCUUAGACGUCCUCCGCCCCGGGAACGCCCGGCUUCCUCUGCCCUCCUUCCCAAUCCUGCUGGCGCAGGCGGCCCGACGCGGGCCCGGGAGAGAGCCCCAAACCCUGGCGACCCGCCUCCUGCCCCGAGACGCCCGGCUGCGUCUCCGGAGGGACUCGGGACUGCGAGUGGGGGGCGGGGGCGGGGGCGGGGGCGGGGGCGGGCCCGCCGGCCGGGGGAGGGGCCUCUCGGACGGGCGUCUCCGCUCCCCGCCCCCUCGGGGAGCUGUUGCAUCAGCUCCGGGGCCCCCGGCCCCAGACAGGGGUCUCCCCCGGCCUGGGAAGGCGUCGGGCCGUAGAGCGGCCGCCAGGAGGCAGCACUUAACAAAAAAUACCCUAGACAGCCCGUGGCGCAGCGGGUCGGCGCCGCCUUCAGCCCGGGGCCUGAUCCUGGAGACCCGGAAUGGAGCCUGCUUCUCCCUCUGCCUGUGUCUCCGCCUCUCUCUCCCUCCUCUCUCUCUCUCUCUCUCUCUCUCUCUCUCUCUCUCUCUCUCUCUCUCUCUCUCUCGAAUAAAUAAAAUCUUUUAAAAAAAUACCCUGUCUUAGGGUGCUGUAGUGGUUGGAGUCCCCAAAGCGUCUUUCUGACGUCUCUGAAGAGUCUCAGUGACAGCGUGGACUCAACAAAAGAGGGAAUUGCCAGCCUAAUUCAAGGAAAGGGAUCUGGAAACGCUUUUUUUCACCCUGCUUUAAGGCUAAAAGAUGACUUGUAAAUAAUUCGAUUUUUUUUUUGUACACCUUUUGGACAGUCCAACUUUAUCAUUUUUUUUUUUUAUAAGAUUUUAUUUAUUUAUUCAUGACAGUCACACAGAGAGAGACAGAGAGGCAGAGACACAGGCAGAGGGAGAAGCAGGCUCCAUGCAGGGAGCCCGACGUGGGAUUCGAUCCCGGGUCUCCAGGAUCGCGCCCCGGGCCAGAGGCAGGCGCCAAACCGCUGCGCCACCCAGGGAUCCCUUUAUCAUUUUUUAAAGCCAGCAUUGCCCCUCUGCAGAGAUACACAAAGAGCCAACCCCCUUCAUGACCAGCCCGGUGGCAAGACACAGCUGAGAGACUUCCCAGCUGCCAAGCAAGAAAAAAGAGUGUGGCACGAGGUCAUAAUUUACCCAUCUUGAAGCUGGGUGAUUUAACACAAAAGCUACCCCGAAUGAUUUAGCAGCCAUGGGAAAAGAAAAGGAAUGUUACAAUAAAUUAUGUAAUAAGGAAAUGAUAUACAAAGCAACAUAUUGUGCGAAGGGUGGCCUUUAGCUUCCACACUUCUUGCAUGGGGUGACAGUGAUUUCAUUGUUGAGCUGACCUAAGGAGGAAGAUAAUGAAGGAAUGUAAAAUAAGACACUUCCCAAAUAGUUUGUUCCUCUUCCACUUUCAAUUUGCU
rnacentral:lncRNA from 1 species